rfam:Algibacter lectus DNA, contig: contig00010, strain: JCM 19300.
CUACAGCCGUAACUCGCGUUAGGGAUUGCAACGGCAUCCUUUUUUAAAGAUUAAGAAAAUAGCAUCGGUUUAGUUUAUGUUUUAAUUUGAGGUCUGAACUUGCUUAAAGUAGCCUAAGCUAAAAAAGAUAUAGUGUAAAGCCCGACCCUUG